GGCCGGACAACAAAAAUGGAGAGAAUUCCACGAAAUUCGUUGUGUACAUACUUGAUGAGUAAUGGAAUAAAAUUGUCGAACAGUUUUUUUUAAAUCACUUGUCGGACAAAAGUUAUAGGUACUCAUGCGAAGAUUGAGGUUGAGUAACAAAGUGUCCCCCGCCUACUAAUGGGUGAUUUUACGUUAUUUAGUGUAGGCAAAAUGACGUUUUUGGCAGAUAACCUUUGCGUUAAGAACGUUUAAUUCUGGUAGAUCACUAGGGCUGAUUAUCAUUGUAUAUACACCUUCGAUGAUAUGAUUAAAUGAUCAUACAACAUGUCGAUCAUAUAACAUAAAUUAAGUGUGCGCAUGCGCGAACUGCCCAACGCCCACUUUCUUAUUUAUGGAGAUAUUUCUUUGAAAUUUCAACCAUAGAUGCUUCUGUGAAGUAACAUAGCACACAUAGUUAUGGCCUAUUGAUAAAUGCGUUGAAGUUGCUAUACCUAUAUAUAUCCCCUUAGGGCGAUAACCUAAAACCUUAGUACUUGUUUUAUGCAGCAAUCGAUUACAUAUAUAAUAGCUUCCUUCUUAUUAAAUAUUGCCACUCUUAAUACUUUUUAAGUUUUUGGCGUCCUCGUCGGCAGCAAGAUUCUAGAUUAUUAUUCUCGUAUCGCAAUCACACCCCUAAAGCAUUUAAAAUUCAUUCUGUAUCAAAAUAGCACAUUUGGACUUAUUAUUGCUUAGGUAUAUCUAUAAAAUUACUCCAACGCGAAACAAAAAUAUAGAGUCUGAUCGAUGGGAUUCACGGGGUGCAAUCAACCCUUAAAUAAGCGUUUAAAAAUUCAUAUAAGAGUCAAACAGCCAUACUGAGGUAGGGUAGGUAUAAAAUUUGUUAUCUCACGUGUCUGGAUUUUUGUGCAUGUAUUGAAUUUAUUAAUUUUAUACCUACACUUGAAAAUGGAACUGGGCCUAGUUCCGAAACAUGCCGUGUACUUUUUGUAAUCAACUUUAAGAAUUUUCAAUCAUAUUCUAUAGGAGAGAGAUCCUGAACUAUAUCCAAAUUAGCUUCCCCAUUUGGAGAAGGAACUAUAACCAUGUCGAUGGGAUAGGUACAUGGUAAAUUUUGGACGUUUAAGGACCAUAAGUUGGUAAACAUAGUGUCUCUUCCCCAAUCCGCCCUAACCCCUAUUGAACUGAAAAUCACUCGAAUGCCAAAUUUCAAACCAAUAUUGGCCUUGGCCGCUUCUAAAGGUAAUUGUCGUGCGCCAAUCCCCACGUGAUGUCAAAUUCUUCUCUUCUAUUACCUACACUGUGACUGAGCUUCGGAGACGAUUUUCGCAACCCACUCAGGUCACAAAACUUUCUUUCCGAUGGCAUAUAUGGAGUAGUUAUUUUUCGGAAGAACUAAUAAUGGGACCCUAAAUAAUUUUGGAAUUGUUUUUAGACGAAAAUAAUUUAUCUUAAGUGCUACCAAUCUCAUGUGUGAUAUGAUAUGAUUUUGACGUGUAUAUAUAUAGGUAUAGCGGUGAAUUACGUUGAAAGUGAGAAAGGUGCUCAACAUGAGAAAUUCCAUCAUCUGUAUUGUGUUGGUAUGGACGUUAUUUGGCCUGUCAAUGGCUGAUAAAUACGCAAUCUGCGUACACGAUCCGGAUAACAGCUGUAUCUGUAAAACGUGGUUUGAGGGGUGCCCUGGUGGAUAUUUCAGUUGCACCGCUGACCUCUUCAAUAAAUGCUCAGGCUUUUUGAGAACAUGCUGCAAAUCUUGAAUCCAAGAUGGUGUUUCUUCUACAUGAAUUAAUUCAAUUAUUUCUGUUACAAUAUCAAUAAAAUUGUUUGAAUUA